AAGAAGAAGGGGGAUUUUCUUUUCUUCCAUUCGGCUACUGUGCACCACAACACCAUAUCUUCAGCCGGUCCAAACAACCAUCUUCCACCAUAUUUUCGGGUAAUCUUCAACCAUCCCACACCUGCCACAUCUUCCACAACCUUCCAUCUUCUAUCUCCACCAAAAACAAAAAUCAAGGGUUUUAAGGCCAAAUUCAGGUAGAACUCCAUAGGAGAACCCGGAGGGUUCUCGACGACGAAUUGUCAUUCCGGAGAGUAUCACCAUUAACCAUCACCCUUAAUCAACUUCCCCUGGACCCAGGAACAAGACCCAAUUGGUGGUUGGGGCGUUGGAACACCAAGGAAGCCGAAUUGAAGGACACCCACCUUAGGAUUUCGUUGAGUGUGAGCCAAUUUGAGGGCCUUCUUGGCCAAAUUGGACUCGGUCACAGGCGGUGAUAGAACGUGAUGCCUUGACUUUCGUGUUUGAGUGCGUUAGUGUGGAUCUCAGGCACUGAUCUUACAGGUAACAAGUCUGAGUAGCUUCGAGAGGUUCGUAGGUGGGAUAGCGGUACAAUUAUCAGAGAUUUGGAGUGCUAGGUUACCCUUAUAUCCUAUCUUGUGCUUUAUCUUUGGGACUUUCUUUUGAGCACCUCAAUCUUUUUCUUAGUAAAGCAAAGAUUAUGCUUCUUUUUGGGAUGUACAUAUUUGUAAAUAUUUUGUGGAGAACUUAGUCACCUUCAUAUUAUUUUGGUUUAUCAGUUAAAGUAUUUUAUUUCAUAAGUUAUACCGUAU